UCAACAAAAAAACCCAACCAACUUUUCUACGAUAUUCAAAUUUUUUUAGGUGCACCUGUAAUGUUUGACACCUGGCAAGGCUCAAAGCCAGGUUUUUAAUCAGUGGUUUGAUGCCUGCUAGUUUAAAAGAUUUAGAUGCAUAGAAAAUGCUACAGUAGGAGUUUUUUUUUUUUUUUUUUUUUUAAUAGGCGUUUGAUUGCUUCUGGUAGUAUUUGUUUAAGAAGAUCAUAGCUAAGGGCUCUAGUUCUAGUUCAUGAUUUUGAAGAGGAAAUCAGUGCAAAUUAAUUGAGUCUGUUUUAUUGGGAUAAAAGACUAAUCACUCCACUGAUGUAGUUUUCUACAUAGGUACAGCAUAAAAAUGUCAUAUGCAACGACACGCCUAACAGCAUGCUUACUAAAAUGGUGUGUUUGUUUUUUUUAACCUCCUGUAGCAUGUCUUCACUCAAAAUAAAAGUAUUUUUUUAUAGGAUUCAGUUGAAAUGUUUAUUACACUUCACUUAAUUGGAAUUUUUUAUGACGAAUAGCCUACUUUAUUAUGCAACCUGUUGUUAUGAUGUAUUAAAUUGAGAGAUUUGUCUCAAACAAUACAAUAUGAUACACCAAAUUAUGGGGAAAUAAAUACAUAAAUCAAUUAUACAUACACUUAUACAUACAUACAUACACACAGACAAAUGAGUAUUUUGUACAUUAUCAGGAAUUAUAUGAUUAAAUACAAUGGCAGCACUAUUUAGCAAGAAAUUAAAGAAAGGCGCAUGAGUAAAAACAAAAAACAAGUAAAACAGGUUAUGAAACUUACAGCUACUCCUAGUCAAUAAAAGUGAUCCUACAACUUGUCAAGAACAAAUGAGCAACAAAAGAUGUUAAAUGGCAUUAAAAGUUCCUAAUUUUGUCUGGUAAAUAAUCUGAUGAAAGAUGUAUAGGUCCCAUAAAACAAAAUGAAACCAUUUAUGGAGAGCACAUGACACAAAUUACAAUAAUAACUCAGAAAGGACAAAAGCAGAUCACUGGAGUUAGUGCAUCUCAGGUUUCGUUUACUCAGAAGUACAAAGUCUUCCUCAUAAGUUUAGGUGGGUCAAGUCAAGUCAUGUUAGAGGUUUGACGGAAUGUAAAAACUGCCUUCAGGUAGGUAGGUGCGGUUUUUGUCAAAAUAUGAUUGGCUGACAACCGAUAUAAAGCGAAUCGGAUUUUUUUUCUCUGUGGCAGUCGCCAAGACAAAACAACGGAGGAAACGGUUUUCUGGAGGCGCACAUACAUGAUAUCACUACUAAGUAUAAAAAUAAAAUAUCUUUUGAAGUACAUUUUUCCUAAGCCUAUACAACCCAGUUUUAACAUUUUUCAUUUGAAAAUGUCCAAAAAAAUUUUUUUUAAGUGUGUUGAAAUUUUAAAGUCUAUAUCACACCAUUCUAACGUUCUUCAUUUGGAUAAUAGUUCAUACCCGCCUUGGCUUACAAGGGAAAUUAUUGAGAACUGUUUCUAUGAACUAAAAUCUACGAAUGGCCCUGUAGUUUACGAAAGUGGAGAAAUUCGAAAAUAUGAUCCCAGCAUGAGGAAGGUGAUUAGAAGGGAAAUACCAUGCGAAAUCAUUAUUACUGAUGGGGAAAAAAUAACAAAUGGACUUGGCUGUUAUUACGGCUUUGGUCAUGUCCUGACUGCGUUACAUGUUGCUGAAAACGCACGUUUAGAAAAUUCUGAAAUACUCAGUGCUUUCCCUAAUGGAAAACAUACACUGAUCUAUAAGGCUGAAUUUACAAAAUCGUGUAGCACUGACACAGACAGAGAUCAGGCAUUUAUUAAAUUACUUGGUGACACUAGUCCGCUUGGUGAUGGUUUACAAAAUCAGAUUGCUAAAGCCAGUGAAAAUGAAAGUGUAUAUUUUUACACCUUAGGCCCCAAUCGGACUAUUCAGAAGCAGGAAGGUAAAAUCCUUUGUCCAAAUUUAAACAUGAAGGCACAAAUGAUUACUGAUGAAUUUAUAACAUCUGUAGCAGGUAUACCUGGAGACAGUGGCUCACCUGUUUACAAUACUAAACAUGAACUGAUUGGUAUAUAUAGAGGUAGCUUUACAUGUCCUGCCACUCCUAAAUAUAAAUAUGGCCGCUGUUCAAGAAUUUCUCCACAGUUACCCUGGGUCCAAACAAAUUAGUGUAGUUUUAUAGAAGUCCCUUUUUCAUAUUUGCAUUUUUUUCAACAACUAUUUUGUGAUAGCGUUUGUAAUACAAUCCCUGAUUUAGAGAUGAUCUGCUUCUGUUUGGUUUACAUUAAUUGAUUUUAGUCUAUCUAAUCAAUUUAAUAUUAUAAUGUUUGGCUUAUGGUUCUGUGUGUGCGUGUGUGUGUGUGUGUGAGUGUGUGUGUGUGUCUACGUGUCUGCACUCAACACAUGAGCCAAAUUGAGCAACUGGGCCAAGCCUCUGGUUUUUCAGUUUCAUUUUUGUUUUCUGCCAGUCUGAGGAAUUAAAGCUAAUGUACAAGCGGAACCUGAGUCUGCUGAGAUUCACCUGCUGACAACGAGCAUUUACCACACUGGAGACAAAAACCUGUGAGAUCAGUACCACCAAAGGUCACAUGUACAUGGUGUCAAAUCGCCUGGCACAGAUCGAACAGCCUCAAGCCAUCUUCUAGGAUGCAAGAGAAGCAGCAUCAGGCCCUCACAGGUCUGCAGCAACAGCAGCAGGAAAUCCUCCCUAAACAUCAUGGAGGAGCAAGCGGCAGACCAACCCACCAUCCAGAGCCUGCUGGCACGAUCCCCUCUAUAAACUCUCUCACUGGUCAGAAUGACACCCCAGGGUGAUGUCCAGGUGUACCUGGAGAUGUUCGAGAGCAAAGCCUCGGCAUGAGUCUGGCUGACAGUGAGGUCUGCACAUUCAAGACCUCCUGAACAGAGACCUGGCUGCUUUCCAGUGGCUCGCAUUGGCUCAUGCAUCAUGUGCACAUGCACACACACACACACACACACACACACACACACACCACUCAGGCUCAGCUCACUAAGACAGAUGGGGACAGAAAGCUCGGAAAAAGCUGAGUUCUCCAUUAUUUAGAUUUGACCAUUUCUAAGCACGUAGGGCUAAUGGAGUGUCAAGUAGUAAAAAAAAGCCUAAACACUAUGCCUGGAAAUCUUAAAAUACGUAAUGUUAAAGACAAGAAAAUGUUUUUAAAAAUUACAUAAAAAUCACCUUCCCAAAACCAGCACAAAAAAUUUAAU